GACGAACGCUGGCGGCGUGCUUAACACAUGCAAGUCGUACGGUAAGGCCCUUUCGGGGGUACACGAGUGGCGAACGGGUGAGUAACACGUGCGUAACCUGCCCACAACUUUGGGAUAACGCUAGGAAACUGGUGCUAAUACUGGAUAUGUGCUCCUGCUGCAUGGUGGGGGUUGGAAAGCUCCGGCGGUUGUGGAUGGACUCGCGGCCUAUCAGCUUGUUGGUGGGGUAGUGGCCUACCAAGGCGGCGACGGGUAGCCGGCCUGAGAGGGUGACCGGCCACAUUGGGACUGAGAUACGGCCCAGACUCCUACGGGAGGCAGCAGUGGGGAAUAUUGCACGAUGGGCGCAAGCCUGAUGCAGCAACGCCGCGUGCGGGAUGACGGCCUUCGGGUUGUAAACCGCUUUCAGCAGGGACGAAGCUUUUUGUGACGGUACCUGCAGAAGAAGCACCGGCUAACUACGUG
rnacentral:rRNA from 1 species